UACGUAGGCAGCGAGCGUUGUUCGGAGUUACUGGGCGUAAAGCGUGCGUAGGCGGUGUCUUAAGUUUGUUGUGAAAUCUCCCGGCUUAACCGGGAGGGUGCGGCGAAUACUGAGAUGCUGGAGUGCCGGAGAGGUAAGCGGAAUUCCUGGUGUAGCGGUGAAAUGCGUAAAUAUCAGGAGGAACACCUGCGGUGUAGACGGCUUACUGGACGGUAACUGACGCUGAGGCACGAAAGCGUGGGUAGCAAACAGG
rnacentral:rRNA from 1 species